CUCAAGUACACCAAUGCGAAAUACAAGAGGCUUCACCUUACAGAAGCUCAUCUGAUAAGGGGUAGGGUUAAAAAGUCAGCAGGGCCUGGGCAUUUGAAACUGAGUACCCAGAGGAGACUGGAUAUUCUAAAGUCAAACUUCUCGAAUUCCACAAAUUGGCCUCAGCCCCUGGCCUCCGGGGCUUCUGCUCAUGUCUCCGUGGGACCUGGGGGCAGAUGCAGAGUUCAGGCUCCAAAUCCACCUCGGAAGUCUCCUGGCUCGUCACUAGGAACUCCUUCCCCCACCUUCCAGCUGUUUCUGUGAUGCCUUUGAGAAAGACACAGGUUUUCUUCCAGGAAGAAUUCCUCCUGACCCUGUAGUAUCAGGAGGACUUGCCGGUUUCGACUGAAUGGCCCAGCGCUGCGCCACCUGUC